rnacentral:rRNA from 1 species
AAAAAAAAAACUACAUCCAGUCCACUGCUCUCCCCCGCGUCGAUCCCAUCCUCCUCUCCCCCGCAUCGCCGCUGGCCUCACCCCAACAGGCGCCACAAACGGCGACUUCGCCUCUCACCGCCACCCCCUCUCAUCCCCUCCCGUCGUGGAAGAUCGAGCGACAACCGCGGCGUGGGCGGGCGGCGCCAACACGCUGCUCUCGGCCGCGGAGCUGCUCCCGCCGGGCCACCCGGACCCGUCCGUCGCCUGCUCGCCUCCCGCGGCGUCUUCUCCGAGCACACAGCCGACGGAGGACGGAGGCCGGAGGGGGUACGCGCUUGUGCUGGCGUGGCCCCGGUUCCACAAGGCCAUGCUCGACCCCGCUGGCGCCGAGCCCUUCGCAUGCGCCCACUCCGGCGUCCCCGCCUACGCCUACUACGGACAUGACCGGGAGGCGAACGAGGUGAUGCACGACGACGAACAUCUACUCAAGGACAUCCUGCUCGGGGAUGCUCCUCUUCGUCAGCAUCUCCAGCGCGUGGUCCAGAAGGGCAUGUUCCUUGACAGUGCUGCCAUGGACGUCUUGUUGGAUCGGCAGGGAAGAGGUUGGAAUCUGUUGCUUGUGUGUGUGUGUAUGCAGUCACCUGGAAUAUGUUUCUUGUGUGCACGAGGUUAUAAAAAUGAAGAAAUUGUGCAUAAUCCCUUCAAGCUAUCAUGUUUCCUAAAAACUUGACUCAAUUGUUUCUGAGUUUUAGUGGCAUUUAACCUGACAUUUUCUCUGUAUGAAGUCAUCAUGUGGUCAUUAACAAUCAUGCAGAUGCAACAAGUCUUGUUUAGUACAGCGUGGCAUAUUGUUGCAUUCAAGUGUAAUGUCAAUCACUGUGCUCUAUUGUCAUUUUUGUUGUGUUCUUCCUAUGCACAUGGAUGCAUCAGCACAUCAUAUCAUAUUGUGGUAAGUCACUUUUUUGUAUUGAAAGCUAGUAAUUGUGCACUGGUGAACAUGAUAUUGCCUCCAAUUCCGUUUUUAUCAUCUAAAUGUCUAAAUGAUAUGCCUUACUGGUGGCAGGUCAAGCCAGAGGUGAUGCACAUCCAUAGAGUCAUGGUCCAAACCGUACACGGCACUCACAUGCCAUGACCAUCGUCAUCUUGUCGGUCAAGCGGAAGUAGUGGCUAUUGCUCCACCACAGAAGCAAAUGUGAUGAUCAACCAAAAGGAAACAGAGCCCCCUGAUCUGUGUCGUGAAGAUGAACCUGAUUGACCAAAGAUUCGCCUGGGCGCACCAAUGAGGCGAGCUGAAAACACCUUCUACUUACUUGCAGGAAAGAAGUGUUCCUGCGCAGGGAUGAAUGAUGAACCUGAUUGGCCAAAUUGAUGAGUAGUACUGUAUAAGAAACCUUCAGCAAACGAAGCGUUUGUGGCAGGGAUCGCUGGGGAGUUUUAACCAUCGCCGAGAAUCAAGGCUUGCAACACCGCCCAGGGGACACGGAGAAUCAAGGCUCGCCGCCCCACUGAGAAGAUUUUUAACGGACACGGAGAAUCAAGGCUCGCCGCCCCACUGAGGAGAAGAUUUCUAACGAUAUGGAAAGUUUGAUGCGCUGGCAGGAAAAGAAUCAGGCCUCCAUUAGAAAGAGUAUAUCCUAGAUCGCCCGUGCAAGCUAUUACAAGGGACUAGCAAACAUGCCCGUGCGUUGCAACGGGAAAGAAAAGCGCUUGUCCCUGACCUGAUAAGCACAACGUUCGUGCUUCACUAUGGAGAAAACACCAGUUGUCAUGAAUCAAGGUUGCCUUGGUUAGGCAAUUGUGUUGCGGGACACUCGAUGUCAAAAACGGUGGUCAAUUGACG